rnacentral:rRNA from 1 species
UACGUAGGGUGCAAGCGUUAUCCGGAUUUACUGGGUUUAAAGGGUGCGUAGGUGGGUAGGUAAGUCAGUGGUGAAAUCUUCAAGCUUAACUUGGAAACUGCCGUUGAUACUAUCUGUCUUGAAUAUUGUGGAGGUGAGCGGAAUAUGUCAUGUAGCGGUGAAAUGCUUAGAUAUGACAUAGAACACCAAUUGCGAAGGCAGCUCGCUACACAUAUAUUGACUCUGAGGCACGAAAGCGUGGGGAUCAAACAGG